GUGUUGUGGCUCAGUGGCAGAGUGCUUGCCUUGCAUGUGUGAGGCACUGGGUUCAAUUCUCAGCACUGCAUA
rnacentral:tRNA from 1 species